GCUGGAGAAAUGUCACUGGGAAAGAUAAAGGACCAUUAUUCUAAAGAGUGUUUCAGGCUGACUGAAUCGGGUCUGAAACAUUAUUGAAAUGGGAAGAUAAACUCAACUACUUUCAGGAAACGCCAAAUGGAAAGUGUGGAAGAAAGACCAUUUCACCUGAAAUAACUGCUCAUGGACCCAUUGCCCCAGGUUAGAAAGGCAUCCCACAUGGCUUAGCCGGACUGGACUCUGUUUUCGGGGAGCUCCUCAAGUUCUGAGCAGUAGGCACAGAGGAAAGAAGGGGACGACCUAUACUUGAAGUCCUUCUUCAUCAACACUGAGACUUCGGCCCUGGUGCAUCCUCCAUGAUUAGACCAUAACCUUCAUCAGCAACCUCUGCCAUCUCUCGGAUUUCUACAAAAUAGAAACCAUGGUAAACCCAGAAGAAAAGGCAACCCAGUUCAUCCCCAGUCUACAAAUGAAGGAAGGGGCAGCCAAUAUUACUCCUCCCAUUGACCAGACUGAAAGACAGCUAAGGAAGUAUUAAAUCACACUUCCGCAUGUAGGCAUGGACAUGUCUUGAAACAACUGGCCUUGGGAGAGCAACUGAAGAAGAACGAACCAUCCUGACUUCAGGUAGUCAACAGCCUGGAUGCUCUCCUGGAAUAAGUGAAGUAAGAGAAAGUCAGGCCAGAAAUUAGUAUUGAGGCUUCUCAAAAGGUUUGAAAGAGAAAUACCACAUGGCCCACCUAUAUCACCCCUUGGUGUAUACCCAAAGGGUUCCAUUUUCUACGGUGAGCAUCCAAGCAUAUUCUUGUGAAUUGCUCUCUACUUACAAUAGAAGGAAAUGGAACCAGUAUAGAGAUCCAUCAAUAGAUGAAUAGAUAGUGAAAAUGUAGUAUACAUACAUGAUAGAAUUUCAUUCAACUGUAGAGAAAAUGGAGUCAUUGCAUGUGUAGGGAAGGGAAUUAAUAUGGAAGGUACGAUUUUUAAAGCUCACAGACAAGACAAUAGAUUUUAAAGCAAGACAUACAUACAACAGGGUAGGUGAAAAUCUGGGAUUCCAGGAGGGGAGGAGGGGGAGAAGUUAGAUACGGAAUAGAAAUACACAGCUUACUAAGAAAGAGGUGAGAAAAAUACUCCCCCAAAUGGAAGCAGGCUAGUGAGCUGAGGAAAGAGCCCAAUACAGCCGGCUGUAGUGUGUGGUCUUUUGUAGCCCCCACCUGCCCUCUAUCAACUUUGUU